UACAUGCAAGUCGAGCGAGAAAGUUUCUUCGGAAACGAGUAAAGCGGCGAACGGGUGAGUAACGCGUAGGAAUCUACCAUUCAGCGGGGGAUAGCUCGGGGAAACUCGAAUUAAUACCGCAUACACCCUACGGGGGAAAGAAGGCCUAUCCUUGGAAGCUUUCACUGUUUGAUGAGCCUGCGUGAGAUUAGUUUGUUGGUGAGGUAAUAGCUCACCAAGACUACGAUCUCUAGCUGGUCUGAGAGGACGAUCAGCCACACUGGGACUGAGACACGGCCCAGACUCCUACGGGAGGCAGCAGUAGAGAAUAUUGGACAAUGGGGGCAACCCUGAUCCAGGCAUGCCGCGUGUGUGAAGAAGGCCUUAGGGUUGUAAAGCACUUUAGGUAAGGAAGAAAAGUUAAUAGUUAAUACCUAUUAACCGUGACAUUACUUACAGAAUAAGGACCGGCUAACUCCGUGCCAGCAGCCGCGGUAAUACGGAGGGUCCAAGCGUUAAUCGGAAUUACUGGGCGUAAAGCGCGCGUAGGCGGUAUGCUAAGUUGGGUGUGAAAUCCCCGGGCUUAACCUGGGAACUGCAUUCAAAACUUGUAUACUGGAGUACGGAAGAGGCGAGUAGAAUUCAUGGUGUAGCGGUGAAAUGCGUAGAUAUCAUGAGGAAUACCAAUGGCGAAGGCAACUCGCUGGUCCGAAACUGACGCUGAGGUGCGAAAGCGUGGGUAGCAAACAGGAUUAGAUACCCUGGUAGUCCACGCCGUAAACGAUGAGAACUAGCCGUUGGAUCCUUGAGAUUCAGUGGCACAGCUAACGCAUUAAGUUCUCCGCCUGGGGAGUACGGCCGCAA
rnacentral:rRNA from 1 species